rnacentral:rRNA from 1 species
UCAAAGAUUAAGCCAUGCAUGUCCAAGUAUAAACAACUCGUAUUUGUGAAACUGCGAAUGGCUCAAUAAAUCAGUUAUAAUUUAUUUGAUAGUGACUUUACUACAUGGAUAGCCGUAGUAAUUCUAGAGCUAAUACAUGCGUAAAGGCCUGACUCGAGAGGGAAGGGCUGUGUAUAUUAGAUCGAAAACCAACGAUCUAGGGUUCGGGAUGGGUUGUAUACGUCCAGUUCUUCACGGGAUUAGGCGUGUAUGGCUUGUCAUUCAAACCGUCCCUAGAAUAAAAUUUUUGGUGAAUCAUGAUAUAUGUCGAAUCGAACGUCAGUUCGAUGUGUCAAUCAAAUUUCUGCCCUAUCGACCUUUGAUGGUAGGAUAUUGGCCUACCAUAGUUUUGACGGGUAACGGAGAAUUAGGGUUCGAUUCCGGAGAGGGAGCCUGAGAGAUGGCUACCACUUUCAAGGAAGGCAGCAGGCGCGCAAAUUACCCAAUCCCAAUAAGUUUGGGGAGGUAGUGACAAAAAAUAACAAUGCGGUGCCUCACGGUAUCUGCAAUUGGAAUGGGGUGGAUUUACAACCUCCACCGAGAAACAAUUAGAGGGCAAGUCUGGUGCCAGCAGCCGCGGUAAUUCCAGCUCUAAUAGUGUAUACUAAAAUUGCUGCAGUUAAAAAGCUCGUAGUUGGAUUUAGGAGGAGGCAAUAUUUCCCCACACGAGAUAGGAUUGUGGUGUUGACUGGGCUCGUAUUGAACGAAUUCUACUACCUCACGGUAGUGUGAGCGUGCCAUUACUUGUGCAUGUCUUCACAGUAACAUGGUCCUAUCAUAAUCUGGUGCUUUGCAUUAUUUCUGGACAAGCUUCUAGUGAUAGACUCAAGGGAAUUGGGGGUUUCGGCCUUCCGAUGAACGCGAGCCUAACUCGUAGAGCGCCAGAUCAUGUAGUGCUAAGUACCGGCGUGUGGGUAGCCUCUUCUAUAGUUUAUUUUCGAGGGAUUGUCUUCUCCUUAAUUGGCUGGAGACGGUAACUCGGAGAUUUUACUUUGAAGAAAAUGGAGUGUUCAAAGCAGGUGAUUUUCGCAACUGAACACAUUAGCAUGGAAUAAUAAAAUAGGACACUUGGCGGUUGUUGCUGUAGUGGCUCCUGCUCUCUGGGUAGGAGAUUACAACAUUGCAGUGAUGGUCGUUACUAAACCCGGCUCGUAAACGGGGUAUGGGGCAACUUGUAUUUCGUGAGUUGGGAGGUAUUCUAUUUUGUUGGUUCAUAGAACAGGUGUAAUGAUUAAUAGGGACAGUUGGGGGUGUCUGUAUUGCGUGGCUAGAGGUGAAAUUCAUGGAUUCACGCAAGACAAACAAAUGCGAAAAGCAUUCACCAAGGAUGUUUUUCAUUAAUCAAGAACGAAAGUUAAGGGAUCGAAGGCGAUCAGAAACCGCCCUAGUCUUAACUAUAAACGAUGCCAACUAGGGAUUGGAGGGAUGCUUAAUAUAUUAUAGCCCCGCCAGGACCUUUUCAGAGAAAUCGUAAGUCUCUGGGUUCUGGGGGGAGUAUGGUCACAAGGCUGAAACUUAAAGAAAUUGACGGAAGGGCACCACCAGGUGUGGAGCCUGCGGCUUAAUUUGACUCAACACGGGGAAACUUACCAGGUCCAGACGCGGGAAGGAUUGACAGAUUGAGAGUUCUUUCUUGAUUCCGGGGAUGGUGGUGCAUGGUCGUUCUUAGUUGGUGGAGUGAUUUGUCUGGUUAAUUCCGAUAACGAACGAGACCUCAACUAGCUAACUAGCCGACAGAAUAAUUAAAGAUUCGGCCUACCGCGAGGGUGUUGCUUGAAGGGUAUCGCAAGGUACUUGGAUGGUAAUAGUCUUUGGUAGGUUCGAGGUAUUCUGGUUUUUAAUUGGCUUCUUAGAAGGACUACCAUAGUCGCAUGUGGUGGAAGCAUGAGGCAAUAACAGGUCUGUGAUGCCCUUAGAUGUUCUGGGCCGCACGCGCGCUACACUGAUGGAUUCAACAAGUGUUAAUUUUUAUUCCUUGCUCGAAAGAGUUGGGUAAUCUUGUAAAUAUCCAUCGUGCUGGGGAUUGACCUUUGUAAUUGUUGGUCAUGAACGAGGAAUACCUAGUAAGUGCAAGUCAUCAGCUUGCGCUGAUUACGUCCCUGCCCUUUGUACACACCGCCCGUCGCUCCUACCGAUUGAAUGAUCAGAUGAAAUGUUCGGAUUGUUGUUUUGCAAGCUGCCUUCGGGUAGUCGGUGAGGCGAUGAGAAGAACAGUGAAUCUUAUUAUUUAGA